UGAAAGAGCAGGAUCUCUGAGCAAAUACUUAAACACAGGAUUGCACGCCGACUCAGAUGCAUCUAACAACAUUCUUAUCAUCAUGAGUUUGCAGUAGUAGAAAUGAGAAGAGGGGAAAACCCGGAAAUCGGUUUUCAAUGUGUGGCAACCGUACGUGCAGACCGGUGAUGAGUUUAGUGCCGUCUUUAUGCGGCUUUUGCGUCAGAAUCUUGAUGAUUCAAUAAACGAAUUAAUGAAAGCUGGAUUGAUGGUCUGCGUAAUUACUUUGUUUUGUUUAUUUGUACUAGCUCUAUACUUCCAAUUAGUAUAAAUGAUACUAUGGGAAUGCGCGUGUUAGAUUUUUUUGUUCUUCGUCAGGUUAUGCGUAAGGUAAUAAUUGAAGGAUCUUAGAUAGAUAAUUUUUUUUUAUUUUCUGUUAUAGCUUUUGUAGUUGUUUAAGUUUAUUCUAAAAUAGUGUCUGUGAAUUUGGAGGGCGAGGAAAAAUCUUGCCUCGAUCUAGAUUGUUUCUGUAUAUGAUCGCACACAAAGUGGGGUCACCGUAAAUAUAAUACGAGAAACCGGGGGUAACAAUACAGACAAUCUAGUGUGGGCAGUAUAUUUAGAUGACAAGUUAGUGGGUCAUUGGCGUGCUGGGCUUUUCCAGGACUUUGACAUUUUUCGCCAAUUUAGUUCAAUUAGGAGGAGAAGUAGCUGUACUAUCUGGUAGUCAAGGAACUCCACUCUCAAAGACGAACAUGGGUAGUGGAAACUUUGCAGAGGAAAGGAAUAAAAAAGCAGGUUAUAUUGGGAAUAUAGAAUUGUUUACUACUAAUGGUGUUCUUAUAUCAGACAUGCCUCGGAGUUAUAUCUCAGCUAAAAAGGAUUGUUAUAAUGUAAAAGGAUAUUUUAUAAAAGAUCACCCUCGGGGAUACUGUAUAUAUUAUGGAGGUCCUGGAGGUUAUGUUUCUCAAUGUAAAUAUUAAAGUAUUUUAUUAAAUAAUUUAUAGUUAGUUAAGAAAGGUUAUUUA